CUGGAGGUAUCAGAAGUGCGAAUGCUGACAUAAGUAACGAUAAAGCGGGUGAAAAGCCCGCUCGCCGGAAGACCAAGGGUUCCUGUCCAACGUUAAUCGGGGCAGGGUGAGUCGACCCCUAAGGCGAGGCCGAAAGGCGUAGUCGAUGGGAAACGGGUUAAUAUUCCCGUACUUGGUGUUACUGCGAAGGGGGGACGGAGAAGGCUAUGUUGGCCGGGCGACGGUUGUCCCGGUUUAAGCGUGUAGGUGUGUGUUCCAGGUAAAUCCGGUUCACUUUAACACUGAGGCGUGAUGACGAGGCACUACGGUGCUGAAGCAACAAAUGCCCUGCUUCCAGGAAAAGCCUCUAAGCAUCAGGUAACAUCAAAUCGUACCCCAAACCGACACAGGUGGUCAGGUAGAGAAUACCAAGGCGCUUGAGAGAACUCGGGUGAAGGAACUAGGCAAAAUGGUGCCGUAACUUCGGGAGAAGGCACGCUGACACGUAGGUGAAGUGAUUUACUCAUGGAGCUGAAGUCAGUCGAAGAUACCAGCUGGCUGCAACUGUUUAUUAAAAACACAGCACUGUGCAAACACGAAAGUGGACGUAUACGGUGUGACGCCUGCCCGGUGCCGGAAGGUUAAUUGAUGGGGUCAGCGCAAGCGAAGCUCCUGAUCGAAGCCCCGGUAAACGGCGGCCGUAACUAUAACGGUCCUAAGGUAGCGAAAUUCCUUGUCGGGUAAGUUCCGACCUGCACGAAUGGCGUAAUGAUGGCCAGGCUGUCUCCACCCGAGACUCAGUGAAAUUGAACUCGCUGUGAAGAUGCAGUGUACCCGCGGCAAGACGGAAAGACCCCGUGAACCUUUACUAUAGCUUGACACUGAACAUUGAGCCUUGAUGUGUAGGAUAGGUGGGAGGCUUUGAAGCGUGGACGCCAGUCUGCGUGGAGCCGACCUUGAAAUACCACCCUUUAAUGUUUGAUGUUCUAACGUGGACCCGUAAUCCGGGUUGCGGACAGUGUCUGGUGGGUAGUUUGACUGGGGCGGUCUCCUCCUAAAGAGUAACGGAGGAGCACGAAGGUUGGCUAAUCCUGGUCGGACAUCAGGAGGUUAGUGCAAUGGCAUAAGCCAGCUUGACUGCGAGCGUGACGGCGCGAGCAGGUGCGAAAGCAGGUCAUAGUGAUCCGGUGGUUCUGAAUGGAAGGGCCAUCGCUCAACGGAUAAAAGGUACUCCGGGGAUAACAGGCUGAUACCGCCCAAGAGUUCAUAUCGACGGCGGUGUUUGGCACCUCGAUGUCGGCUCAUCACAUCCUGGGGCUGAAGUAGGUCCCAAGGGUAUGGCUGUUCGCCAUUUAAAGUGGUACGCGAGCUGGGUUUAGAACGUCGUGAGACAGUUCGGUCCCUAUCUGCCGUGGGCGCUGGAGAACUGAGGGGGGCUGCUCCUAGUACGAGAGGACCGGAGUGGACGCAUCACUGGUGUUCGGGUUGUCAUGCCAAUGGCACUGCCCGGUAGCUAAAUGCGGAAGAGAUAAGUGCUGAAAGCAUCUAAGCACGAAACUUGCCCCGAGAUGAGUUCUCCCUGAGACUUAGAGUCUCCUGAAGGAACGUUGAAGACGACGACGUUGAUAGGCCGGGUGUGUAAGCGCAGCGAUGCGUUGAGCUAACCGGUACUAAUGAACCGUGAGGCUUAACCUUACA
rnacentral:rRNA from 1 species